CUACGGGACGCUGCAGUGAGGAAUAUUGGACAAUGGGCGAGAGCCUGAUCCAGCCAUGCCGCGUGCAGGAAGACUGCCCUAUGGGUUGUAAACUGCUUUUAUACAGGAAGAAUAAGCCUUACGUGUAAGGUGAUGACGGUACUGUAAGAAUAAGGACCGGCUAACUGCGUGCCAGCAGCCGCGGUAAUACGGAGGGUCCGAGCGUUAUCCGGAAUUAUUGGGUUUAAAGGGUCCGUAGGCGGAUGAUUAAGUCAGGGGUGAAAGUUUGCAGCUCAACUGUAAAAUUGCCUUUGAUACUGGUUAUCUUGAGUUGUAUUGAAGUAGGCGGAAUAUGUAGUGUAGCGGUGAAAUGCAUAGAUAUUACAUAGAACACCAAUUGCGAAGGCAGCUUACUAAGUACUAACUGACGCUGAUGGACGAAAGCGUGGGUAGCGAACAGGAUUAGAUACCCUCGUAGUC
rnacentral:rRNA from 1 species